rnacentral:rRNA from 1 species
UACGUAGGGUGCAAGCGUUGCCCGGAUUUAUUGGGCGUAAAGGGCGCGUAGGCGGCUCUGCACGUCCGUUGUGAAAUCGCCCGGCUCGACUGGGCGGGGUCAGCGGAUACGGCAGAGCUUGAGCAAGCUAGGGGGCAAUGGAAUUCCCGGUGUAGUGGUGGAAUGCGUAGAUAUCGGGAGGAACACCAGUGGCGAAGGCGGUUGCCUGGGGCUUUGCUGACGCUGAUGCGCGAAAGCGUGGGAGCGAUCCGG